rnacentral:rRNA from 1 species
CCUACGGGAUGCAGCAGUGGGGAAUAUUGCACAAUGGGCGCAAGCCUGAUGCAGCCAUGCCGCGUGUAUGAAGAAGGCCUUCGGGUUGUAAAGUACUUUCAGCGGGGAGGAAGGCGAUAGGGUUAAUAACCUUGUCGAUUGACGUUACCCGCAGAAGAAGCACCGGCUAACUCCGUGCCAGCAGCCGCGGUAAUACGGAGGGUGCAAGCGUUAAUCGGAAUUACUGGGCGUAAAGCGCACGCAGGCGGUCUGUCAAGUCGGAUGUGAAAUCCCCGGGCUCAACCUGGGAACUGCAUUCGAAACUGGCAGGCUGGAGUCUUGUAGAGGGGGGUAGAAUUCCAGGUGUAGCGGUGAAAUGCGUAGAGAUCUGGAGGAAUACCGGUGGCGAAGGCGGCCCCCUGGACAAAGACUGACGCUCAGGUGCGAAAGCGUGGGGAGCAAACAGGAUUAGAUACCCGUGUAGUC